CGGCAGGCCUAACACAUGUCAAGUCGAGCGGCAGCGGGAGAAAGCUUGCUUUCUUGCCGGCGAGCGGCGGACGGGUGAGUAAGGUAUGGGGAUCUGGCCGAAGGCGGGGGAUAACCACUGGAAACGGANGGCUAAUACCGCAUAAUCUCUAAGGANCAAAGUGGGGGACCUUCUGGCCUCACACCUUCNGAUGAACCCAUAUGAGAUUAGCUAGUACGUGGGGUAAAGGCUCACCUAUGNGACCANCUCUGGGGAGUACGGCCGCAAGGGUUAAAACUAAAAUGAAUUGACGGGGGCCCGCACAAGCGGUGGAGCAUGUGGUUUAAUUUAGAUGCAACGCGAAGAACCUUACCUACUCUUGACAUCCAGAGAAGCUUUUAGAGAUAGAGGCGUGCCUUCGGGAACUUUGAGACAGGUGCUGCAUGGCUGUCGUCAGCUCGUGUUGUGAAAUGUUGGGUUAAGUCCCGCAACGAGCGCAACCCUUAUCCUUUGUUGCCAGCGAUACGGUCGUGAACUAUAAGGAGACUGCUCGGUGAUAAAGGAGUGGAAGGUGGGGAUCAGUUCAAGUCAUCAUG
rnacentral:rRNA from 1 species